AGUAUAGCGCAUUAAGGAUUGAUUGUAUAGUAUAGCGCAUUAAGGAUUGAUUGUAUAGUAUAGCGCAUUAAGGAUUGAUUGUAUAGUAUAGAGCAUUAAGGGUUGAUUGUAUAGUAUAGCGCAUUAAGGAUUGAUUGUAUAGUAUAGAGCAUUAAGGGUUGAUUGUAUAGUAUAGCGCAUUAAGGAUUGAUUGUAUAGUAUAGCGCAUUAAGGGUUGAUUGUAUAGUAUAGCGCAUUAAGGAUUGAUUGAGCAUUAUUGAUGUAUUAGGAAACUGUAGAACCAUUGAAUUGUAAUAACGUGUAUAAAGACAAAAAACAGAGUGACUUUAAUAAAAGCUUGAAACGUUGACAACGAGGCCAGAUUAACGAUCUGGAGAGCAAACGCCUCUGACACUCUCACUGAACAGAAAGUGACCCUGGUUAUAGGUUAAAGUGAUUGCACUAAAGAAUAUUUCAUUGUGUGGACAAUAAUAUAUCUUUGGAAAAGUCAAAUACAUAUAGUUUCCCAGUGACUCCUAGCUGACGAGCAUAAUAACUAACAGAAGAUGAGUUAUUAGGUAUUGAUAUAUAAGAGAAGAAGACCCAAGGUAAGGGAGUAUAGGAAGAGUACUCAUCUAUCCAAGGCCCCAUACCCGACCGGCAAAUAAGGGAGUGACAAUGUGUACGAAGGAACAAACCCAACUCACGCGAAGGGCCAUUACGAAUACAUAGAAGAGUUGGUAGGGCCGCACGCCUAGGCCCUUGUUACACCGAAGUGACAAAAAUCCUAAGUCUGCCCAGCCAGAGGACGGGAUAGAGGCCUAUGCUGCAGGCGACGGGCAAAAGUCAGCACCGUGACACUUCUCCCUGUGUGUAUUAUCUCAUUAAACUUCCUAACAUGUUCAAACUCUUUCCACAAUGGGAGCAGUGGUAAGGCUUCUCCCCUGUGUGUAUUCGGUCACAAGCUUUCAGGCUUCCUAACCGGCUAAAACUCUUUCCACAAUGGGAGCAGUGGUACAUCCCUGUUAGUGAACAUUUAUCCUUUGCCAAGAUAAUCCAUCCACCUGACAGGUGUGGCAUAUCAAGAAGCUGAUUAAACAGCAUUAUCAUUACACAGGUGCACCUUGUGCUGGGGACAAUAAAAGGCCACAAAAUGUGCUGUUUUGUCACAACACAAUGCCACAGAUGUCACAUAGGUAGUGGGCAAUUUGCAUGCUGACUGCAGGAAUGUCCACUGGAGCGUUUGCCAGGGGAUUUAAUGUACAGCACCAGUCAAAAGAUUGGACACGCAUACUCAUUUAAGGGUUUUUCUUUAUUUUACUCUUUUCUACAUUGUAGAAUAAUAGUGAAGGCAUCGUAACUACGUAAUAACACGCUAAAUCAUGUAGUAACUAAAAAAAAGUGUUAAACAAAUCAAAAUAUAUUUUAGAUUCUUCAAAAUUGCCACCCUUUGCCUUGAUGACAGCUUUGCACACUCUUGGCUUUCUCUCAACCAGCUUCACCUGGAAUCCUUUUCCAAUACAUGCUGAUGUUGGCCACUUUUCCUAACCUCGGUCUAAUUCAUCCCAAACCAUCACAUUUGGAUCGACAUCGGGUGAUUGUGGAGGCCAGGUCAUCUGAUGCAGCACUCCAUCACUCUCCUUCUUGGUCAAACAGCCCUUACACAUGCUGGUUAAGUGCCAAUUGAAAUAAAAUAACUUGAAAUAAAAUCACUGACAGUGUCAACAGCAAAGCACCAUCACACCUCCUCCUCCAUGCUUCACGGUGGGAACCACAUGUGGAGAGGAACCUACUCUGCAUCUCAUAAAGUCAUGGCGGUUGGAACCAAAAAUCUCAAAUUUGGACUCAAUAGACCAAAGGACAGAUAUCUACCGGUCUAAUGUCCAUUGCUUGUGUUUCCUGGCCCAAGCAAGUCUCUUAUUCUUAGUGGUGACCCUUUAGCAGUGGUUUCUUUGCAGCAAUUCGACCAUGAAGGACUGAUUCACACAGUCUCCUCUGAACAGCUGAUUUUGAGAUGUGUCUGUUACUUGAACUCUGUGAAACAUUUAUUUGGGCUGCAAUUUCUGGGGCUGGUAACUCUAAUGAACUUAUCCUCUGCAGCAGAAGUAACUCUGGGUCUUCCUUUCCUGUGGCGAUCAUCAGAGCGCUUGAUGGUUUUGCACAUGAAGAAACGGAUUGACUUACUUCAUGUCUUAAAGUAAUGAUACACUGUUGUUUCUCUUUGCUUAUUUGAGCUGUUCUUGCCCUAAUAUUGAAUUAAUAUUUUUAACAAAUAGGGCUAUCUUCUGUAUACCACCCGUACCUUGUCACAUUACAACCGAUUGGCUCAAACGCAUUAAGAACGAAAGAAGGACUACUAUCCUACUGCCCCACAAUUUAUUGGGCAUUCUCCUCUACUAUGUCCUUGUGUUCAGAGGCCUAAAUCUGUCCUAUGUCCUACUGUUCAACAGUCUACAUCCUUACCUCCUGUGUGGUUUAUCUCAUGUCUUCUCAGGUUACCUAACUCCUUAAAACUCUUGUCACACUGGGAGCAGUGGUAAGGCUUCACCCCUGUGUGUAUUCUCUUGUGUGUUUUCAGGUUACAUAACUGGGUAAAACUUUUUCCACACUGGGAGCAGUGGUAAGGUUUCUCCCCUGUGUGUAUUCUCUCGUGUCUUUUCAGGCCACUUAAGUGGUUACAACCCUUUCCACACUGGGAGCAGUGGUACGGCUUUUCUCCUGUAUGUAUUGUCUCGUGUAUUUUCAGGCCCCCUAACCUUGUAAACCUCUUUGCACACUGUGAGCAGUGGUAUGGCUUCUCCCCUGGGUGUAUUCUCUCAUGUUGCAUCAGGUGUCCUUUCUGGUUAAAACUCCUCCCUGUAUGAAUUCUCUCAUGUUUUUUCAGGUAUCCUCUCUGGUUAUAGCUCUUUCCACACUGGGAACAGUGGUAAGGCUUCUCCCCUGUGUGUAUUCUCUCAUGUUGUUUCAGGUAUCCUUUGUGGUUAAAAUUCUUUCCACACUGGGCACAGUGGUAUGGCUUUUCUCCUGUAUGUAUUCUCUCAUGUUGUUUCAGGUCCCGUAACUGUUUAAAACCCUUUCCACAGUGGGAGCAGUGGUGUCGUCUUGUUGGUUUGGAUGUCUCUGGCUCUGGUUCCUGGGAGUCUGGUCUUUCCCCUGUCAAAGACAGAGUGUUUAUUUAAAUAUAGACCUGAAUGAAACCUCCACAUGAUAAAAUAUCCUUACUACAAGGGUAAAUCCUAAUUAGAUCCCUCAACCUGAGGCCAGUUUUAACAAUCUUUGUGUGAUUUUAAAACAAAUGUAGAGC